GCUAAUGUGUCCUUGGAAAUAACAUUGCAGUGGCAGCACCAAUUCUGUCUGGUAUAAGCAAAUCAGCAAUAGAAUAAUGAUGGGGGCAACAGGUAGAAUAGAGUCAUUUGCUGUCUAGCAGGAAAUGGAUCAUUUACUCCAUGCAAACUAAUUGGACACCUCAUCAGGGCGGUAACAUUUUGUUUGGCUUUUGCAGGAGUGCUGUUUGGCAUUGCGGUGAGGACCCUGCAUGCAGCCACUGGCAGUAACCGGAGUACUCAAAAGGCUGGUGCUACAAUUGCUGGGACAGUCGUUGUUCUGUUCCUUGUCUUGCUGCUCUUGGGAGCUGUCCUGCUACUCUACAGAAAAGGGACUUUAAGAUCUCUCGCGUCCGUUCGUUUUACCUCCUUGUGGAGCCGCAAAAGGGACCUGGAUCUUUCAGGAGAAACAGCCGACAAGGGGUUUGAUAAUCCCAUUUUCGACACACCAUGUGACCCAGCGGCUUUAGCUGGUGCGUGCUCCGUGGAGGAGGAGGAGGAGGCACCGAAGGAGAUGGCGAGCAAAAAUAGCGAGCUCUAUUACAUUAAUCCUUUAUAUGAUGAAACGGAACUUUGUGCUUAACAUCAAAGCUGUCAGAGGAAGACAAUCCUGCCAUCCUGUACUUUGCUUGCCGUUUCAAACAGGCUCAGCCACUGCAGAGACCAGCUCACCAAUGCACAGAUCCUGCUCACUUCAAUGGGGACAGUGCAGAAGAAUUCCCUGGUGAUUGGCCCCCAAAGUUAUUUUGACGCCGCCUUGUCUUAAAAAUACUGCUUAAUUUUCAAAUGGGAGAGCAUAUCAAAUUGCUGGGUGGUCCUCAUGAAAAUCAGAAAGGGUCUGCAAAUCUUUUUCUCAUCAGUAGUGGAAUAUGUAUCGUCACUGAAUUUCAAUAAAGAAUGCCUAUCGCACUAAAGCAA